rnacentral:rRNA from 1 species
UACAGAGGUGGCAAGCGUUGUUCGGAAUUACUGGGCGUAAAGCGCAUGUAGGCGGUUCGUAAAGUCAGAUGUGAAAGCCCUGGGCUUAACCCAGGAAGUGCAUUUGAAACUCACGAACUUGAGUCCCGGAGAGGAAGGCGGAAUUCUCGGUGUAGAGGUGAAAUUCGUAGAUAUCGAGAGGAACAUCGGUGGCGAAGGCGGCCUUCUGGACGGUGACUGACGCUGAGACGCGAAAGCGUGGGGAGCAAACAGG